UGGAAUGGUGAUUUUGCUUUGGCACAUUACCAAGUUAAAGGCAUGCCAGCUUCUUCAUUUUAUAAAAAACAUAAUGGAUGGUGACAGUAAUGUAAAUCCUUAUCAUGAAACAAUUGAUUGGCGACAAAGUUGACCCAUUCCCAUUUCAAGACCUUGACAUGAAACGAUUGGUUGGUGACGGAGUUGACCUAUCCCCAAUUUAAAACCUUGACACGGAACAAUUGGUUGGCGGCGGAGUUGAGCCAUCCCCAAGCCAAUAUUGGUUUGUAAUGUUUAGUUAUUCAGCUUUGCUGUAUAUGAUCCAUUCCUAAAACAAAAGUCAGAAAACGUUUGGUUUUGGACUGAAACACUCAACACCUUUAGAAGAAUUUAUGAAUUUACAAUGAUGCGAAACAAUUAUGUAAAUGAAGCAUUAUAUUAUGUCA